GGGUUGUGAGGUUAAGCGACUAAGCGUACACGGUGGAUGCCCUGGCAGUCAGAGGCGAUGAAGGACGUGCUAAUCUGCGAAAAGCGCCGGCGAGGUGAUAUGAACCUUUGACCCGGCGAUGUCCGAAUGGGGAAACCCAGUGCAAUUCGUUGCACUAUCGUUAACUGAAUACAUAGGUUAACGAGGCGAACCGGGGGAACUGAAACAUCUAAGUACCCCGAGGAAAAGAAAUCAACCGAGAUUCCCCCAGUAGCGGCGAGCGAACGGGGAGCAGCCCGGAGUCUGAAUCAGCUUGUGUGUUAGUGGAACGGUCUGGAAAGUCCGACGGUACAGGGUGAUAGUCCCGUACACGAAAGCACACAUGCUGUGAACUCGAAGAGUAGGGCGGGACACGUGGUAUCCUGUCUGAAUAUGGGGGGACCAUCCUCCAAGGCUAAAUACUCCUGACUGACCGAUAGUGAACCAGUACCGUGAGGGAAAGGCGAAAAGAACCCCGGCGAGGGGAGUGAAAAAGAACCUGAAACCGUGUACGUACAAGCAGUGGGAGCCUCUUUAUGGGGUGACUGCGUACCUUUUGUAUAAUGGGUCAGCGACUUAUAUUCUGUAGCAAGGUUAACCGUAUAGGGGAGCCGAAGGGAAACCGAGUCUUAACUGGGCGUUAAGUUGCAGGGUAUAGACCCGAAACCCGGUGAUCUAGCCAUGGGCAGGUUGAAGGUUGGGUAACACUAACUGGAGGACCGAACCGACUAAUGUUGAAAAAUUAGCGGAUGACCUGUGGCUGGGGGUGAAAGGCCAAUCAAACCGGGAGAUAGCUGGUUCUCCCCGAAAGCUAUUUAGGUAGCGCCUCGUGAACUCAUCUUCGGGGGUAGAGCACUGUUUCGGCUAGGGGGCCAUCCCGGCUUACCAACCCGAUGCAAACUACGAAUACCGAAGAAUGUUAUCACGGGAGACACACGGCGGGUGCUAACGUCCGUCGUGAAGAGGGAAACAACCCAGACCGCCAGCUAAGGUCCCAAAGUCAUGGUUAAGUGGGAAACGAUGUGGGAAGGCACAGACAGCCAGGAUGUUGGCUUAGAAGCAGCCAUCAUUUAAAGAAAGCGUAAUAGCUCACUGGUCGAGUCGGCCUGCGCGGAAGAUGUAACGGGGCUAAACCAUGCACCGAAGCUGCGGCAGCGACACUAUGUGUUGUUGGGUAGGGGAGCGUUCUGUAAGCCGUUGAAGGUGUCCUGUGAGGGGUGCUGGAGGUAUCAGAAGUGCGAAUGCUGACAUAAGUAACGAUAAAGCGGGUGAAAAGCCCGCUCGCCGGAAGACCAAGGGUUCCUGUCCAACGUUAAUCGGGGCAGGGUGAGUCGACCCCUAAGGCGAGGCCGAAAGGCGUAGUCGAUGGGAAACAGGUUAAUAUUCCUGUACUUGGUGUUACUGCGAAGGGGGGACGGAGAAGGCUAUGUCAGCCGGGCGACGGUUGUCCCGGUUUAAGCAUGUAGGCGGAGGUUCCAGGUAAAUCCGGUACCUUAUUAACGCUGAGGUGUGAUGACGAGGCACUACGGUGCUGAAGUGAUAAAUGCCCUGCUUCCAGGAAAAGCCUCUAAGCAUCAGGUAACACGAAAUCGUACCCCAAACCGACACAGGUGGUCAGGUAGAGAAUACCAAGGCGCUUGAGAGAACUCGGGUGAAGGAACUAGGCAAAAUGGUGCCGUAACUUCGGGAGAAGGCACGCUGAUGUGUAGGUGAAGUCCCUGCGGACGGAGCUGAAAUCAGUCGAAGAUACCAGCUGGCUGCAACUGUUUAUUAAAAACACAGCACUGUGCAAACACGAAAGUGGACGUAUACGGUGUGACGCCUGCCCGGUGCCGGAAGGUUAAUUGAUGGGGUUAGCGGCAACGCGAAGCUCUUGAUCGAAGCCCCGGUAAACGGCGGCCGUAACUAUAACGGUCCUAAGGUAGCGAAAUUCCUUGUCGGGUAAGUUCCGACCUGCACGAAUGGCGUAAUGAUGGCCAGGCUGUCUCCACCCGAGACUCAGUGAAAUUGAACUCGCUGUGAAGAUGCAGUGUACCCGCGGCAAGACGGAAAGACCCCGUGAACCUUUACUAUAGCUUGACACUGAACACUGGUCCUUGAUGUGUAGGAUAGGUGGGAGGCUUUGAAGCGUGGACGCCAGUCUGCGUGGAGCCAACCUUGAAAUACCACCCUUUAAUGGCUGGUGUUCUAACGUAGACCCGUGAUCCGGGUUGCGGACAGUGUCUGGUGGGUAGUUUGACUGGGGCGGUCUCCUCCCAAAGAGUAACGGAGGAGCACGAAGGUUGGCUAAUCCUGGUCGGACAUCAGGAGGUUAGUGCAAUGGCAUAAGCCAGCUUGACUGCGAGCGUGACGGCGCGAGCAGGUGCGAAAGCAGGUCAUAGUGAUCCGGUGGUUCUGAAUGGAAGGGCCAUCGCUCAACGGAUAAAAGGUACUCCGGGGAUAACAGGCUGAUACCGCCCAAGAGUUCAUAUCGACGGCGGUGUUUGGCACCUCGAUGUCGGCUCAUCACAUCCUGGGGCUGAAGUAGGUCCCAAGGGUAUGGCUGUUCGCCAUUUAAAGUGGUACGCGAGCUGGGUUUAGAACGUCGUGAGACAGUUCGGUCCCUAUCUGCCGUGGGCGCUGGAGAAUUGAGGGGGGCUGCUCCUAGUACGAGAGGACCGGAGUGGACGCAUCACUGGUGUUCGGGUUGUCAUGCCAAUGGCACUGCCCGGUAGCUAAAUGCGGAAAAGAUAAGUGCUGAAAGCAUCUAAGCACGAAACUUGCCCCGAGAUGAGUUCUCCCUGAGACCUUGAGUCUCCUGAAGGAACGUUGAAGACGACGACGUUGAUAGGUCGGGUGUGUAAGCGCAGCGAUGCGUUGAGCUAACCGAUACUAAUGAACCGUGAGGCUUAACCUUACAACGCCGAAGCUGUU
rnacentral:rRNA from 1 species